rnacentral:tRNA from 1 species
GGGCCGUUAGCAUAGUGGUAGUGUUCCUGUUUUGCAUACAGGGGGCGCGAGUUCGAUUCUCGCACGGUCCA